UGAAGAUAGUUCGUUCGGCUGGCGUU
rnacentral:piRNA from 1 species